rnacentral:rRNA from 1 species
UGCAAGUCUGGUGCCAGCAGCCGCGGUAAUUCCAGCUCCAAUAGCGUAUAUUAAAGUUGUUGCAGUUAAAAAGCUCGUAGUUGGACCUUGGGCUUGGUUGGCCGGUCCGCCUUUUUGGCGAGUACUGGACCCAACCGAGCCUUUCCUUCUGGCUAACCUUUCGCCCUUGUGGUGUUUGGCGAACCAGGACUUUUACUUUGAAAAAAUUAGAGUGUUCAAAGCAGGCCUUUGCUCGAAUAUAUUAGCAUGGAAUAAUAGAAUAGGACGUUAUGGUUCUAUUUUGUUGGUUUCUAGGACCAUCGUAAUGAUUAAUAGGGACGGUCGGGGGCAUCAGUAUUCAGUUGUCAGAGGUGAAAUUCUUGGAUUACCUGAAGACUAACUACUGCGAAAGCAUUUGCCAAA